rnacentral:rRNA from 1 species
AAAAGUGUAUAGAAUUUAGGUAGUAGUAGAUGUCUUAAAACUUAAAAAUUUUGGCGGUGUUUUAAUCUUAUCAGAGGAAUCUGUUUUAUAAUCGACAAUACACGACAAAUCUUGCUUGGGUAAAUGGUUUGUAUAUCGUUGUGGUAAUAAUAUUUUAUAGUUAUUGUUGAGGGUAAUUUUAUUUUUAAUAUCAGAUCAAGGUUCAGCUUAUACUUAAGAAAUAAAUGGGUUACAAUAUAAAGAUAUAUUUACGGAGUUUGUUUUUAUAUGAUAAAUGAAGGAGGAUUUGAAAGUAUUUUUAUAUUAAUAUGUUAGAUUGAAUUAGCUCUAAAACAUGC